GAUGAACGCUAGCGGCAGGCUUAACACAUGCAAGUCGAGGGGUAACAUAGAAAAGCUUGCUUUUCUGAUGACGACCGGCGCACGGGUGCGUAACGCGUAUACAACCUACCUUUUAGCGGGGAAUAGCCCAGGGAAACUUGGAUUAAUGCCCCAUAGUAUAUAGACUUCUCCUGAAGUUUAUAUUAAACAUUUAUGGCUAUUAGAUGGGUAUGCGUCCUAUUAGUUAGUUGGUAAGGUAACGGCUUACCAAGGCAGCGAUAGGUAGGGGUCCUGAGAGGGAGAUCCCCACACUGGUACUGAGACACGGACCAGACUCCUACGGGAGGCAGCAGUGAGGAAUAUUGGACAAUGGGCGAGAGCCUGAUCCAGCCAUGCCGCGUGCAGGAAGACUGCCCUAUGGGUUGUAAACUGCUUUUACAGAGGAAGAACCACCCCCACGUGUGGGGGUUUGACGGUACUCUGCGAAUAAGGAUCGGCUAACCCCGUG
rnacentral:rRNA from 1 species